rnacentral:rRNA from 1 species
UACAGAGGUCCCAAGCGUUGUUCGGAUUCACUGGGCGUAAAGGGUGCGUAGGCGGUCGGGUAAGUCUGAUGUGAAAUCUCACAGCUUAACUGUGAAACUGCAUUGGAUACUAUUCGGCUUGAGAGUUGGAGGGGGGACUGGAAUUCUUGGUGUAGCAGUGAAAUGCGUAGAUAUCAAGAGGAACACCAGUGGCGAAGGCGAGUCCCUGGACAACUUCUGACGCUGAGGCACGGAAAGCUAGGGGAGCAAACAGG